UGGUGGGGUGAGAUGAGCAGGGAUG
rnacentral:misc_RNA from 1 species